GGAGAGAUGGCUCAGAGGUUAAGAGCACUGGCUGCUCUUCCAGAGGUCCUGAGUUCAAUUCCCAGCCACUACA
rnacentral:tRNA from 1 species